GCUGGUUAGACCUUUCGGACACUUCCUGCAAGGAAAAGUGAAGUGUCGUUGACAAGUUAAGGGGAGGAUCCAAAUGUCAAGAAACAGAGAAGUUCAAGUUCUAAACCAACUUCCUACAGCAGAUUGUAUUAUCUACAAACACUAAUCUUCAUUGAUCUUCUACAUCUAAGUUAUUCAUGAACAUUAGAUUCUGUGGUGCUUCCAAUCUGAUUGACAGAUGACUCAGCACUCCCUCAUUACCAAGCGCCUGCUGUUUGCUUCAGCUAGAUGUUCAUCCAUUCCAGGAUCUAACUUUGACUUCAUCACCACUACUCAAUACAUCACCUGUAUUGAGGGGAGAUGAUGGCCUAGUGGUAUUAUCGUUGGACUGUUAAUCCAGAGACUCAGAUAACGUCCUGGGGACCCAUGUUUGAAUCCCACCAUAGCGGAUGGCGGAAUUUGAAUUCAAUAUCUGGAAUUAAGAAUCUAGUGAUGACCGUGAAUCCAUUGCUGAUUUCAGGAAAAACCCAUCUGGUUCACUAAUGCCCUUUAGGGAAGGAAACUGCAAUCCGUCACCUGGUCUGGCCUACAUGACUCCAGACCCACAGCAAUGUGGUUGACUCUUUACUGCCGUCUGGGCAAUUAGGGAUGGCCUAGCCAGUGACGCUCUCAUCCCGUGAAUGAAUUUUAAAAAAACUGUCAAGUGGCUCAUUGUCAAUACCCUUUGGAAGUCUUACUGCAAGGCUUUCCACAAUCUAUUAGCAAUUUUAUUUCACAUUAAAAUAGCUAGUUACAUUGUGUCAUGUCUACAACUGUGUCAUUUCCCAAAUAUAUGGUGAUUCUGAAAGUGUUCAACCUUAUCUUCCAGCCUCCUGAUGCCCUAUCUCUGAAUGUUACUGAUUGUAGAAUGUGUAUACGCAUUGCCGGUAAUAUAACACAAACUGCUGUUCGUUGUAAAACAUCGAUGUCAACUUAAAAUGUAAUAAAAUUGGUGCUUCCUAUACAACCUCACCUAA